UUUAUUGCAUGUGUGUAGUUUUUGUGUGUUAUAUGAUGACUUUAAAAGUUGUUUUUUGUGUAUUCUCCAGGAACUCAUUUGUUGGUGGAAGGAUUAAAGAUGUACUACCCACCAGCUGUCAGGAGUUUUUAAAGUGGUGAAUUUAAACAGUGUUACAACAGACUGAAGAUUUCUGAAAAAAGUAGAUGGCUAACCUAUUAUAUUUUGGGCAUCAUUUGACUUAGAUAGUGUUAAUGUUUAAAGUUGAAGACAGUAUAUAAUUCAUCAAGAACAUUGGAAUCCAGAAUUAAACCUCAAAUUUGACUGAUUUACUAUAGAACUAAUAGUACGAAAAUUCACCGGGCCGAGUCCAAGAUAAGAAAUGUCAAAAAUGGGAACUGGUUGAUGGAUAUGGAUGAAACUUUGCAUCAGUGUUGUGUUUAUGAAUAGAAGUCAGGAAAAUAAAGGAUUACUGACAGACCAUGCAGUUACCAAAGCCUGGGUUUGAGUAUAUGACCUUACCUUAUCCUGGUAAAGAUCUAUAGAAGGACUCCUUCAGCUCUGUUUGGCAGCAGCUUUGUCAGGACACAUUGAGAAGGAACUCAUUUGUUGGUGGAAGGAUUAAAGAUGUACUACCCACCAGCUGUCAGGAGUUUUUAAAGUGGUGAAUUUAAACAGUGUUACAACAGACUGAAGAUUUCUGAAAAAAGUAGAUGGCUAACCUAUUAUAUUUUGGGCAUCAUUUGACUUAGAUAGUGUUAAUGUUUAAAGUUGAAGACAGUAUAUAAUUCAUCAAGAACAUUAGAAUCCAGAAUUAAACCUCAAAUUUGACUGAUUUACUAUAGAACUAAUAGUACGAAAAUUCACCGGGCCGAGUCCAAGAUAAGAAAUGUCAAAAAUGGGAACUGGUUGAUGGAUAUGGAUGAAACUUUGCAUCAGUGUUGUGUUUAUGAAUAGAAGUCAGGAAAAUAAAGGAUUACUGACAGACCAUGCAGUUACCAAAGCCUGGGUUUGAGUAUAUGACCUUACCUUAUCCUGGUAAAGAUCUAUAGAAGGACUCCUUCAGCUCUGUUUGGCAGCAGCUUUGUCAGGACACAUUGAGAAGGAACUCAUUUGUUGGUGGAAGGAUUAAAGAUGUACUACCCACCAGCUGUCAGGAGUUUUUAAAGUGGUGAAUUUAAACAGUGUUACAACAGACUGAAGAUUUCUGAAAAAAGUAGAUGGCUAACCUAUUAUAUUUUGGGCAUCAUUUGACUUAGAUAGUGUUAAUGUUUAAAGUUGAAGACAGUAUAUAAUUCAU